AAAAGCGUCGGGGAGAGCAGCGUCGUGUCGUUGCGCACCAUGGGCGGAGGGGAGGAGUCUGGGUGUGUGAAUCACGUGGGACUUUCAAACGCGGAGAAGCCCAGCAACUGCAGUGAUUUCACAGACGUGCUCACCCCAGCCAGCAGUGUCUUGAGAAGCUACAGACUCCAUGGCCAAGGAAUGAACCAUCCUAGACUAUCCCAAGUUGGAAGGGAUCCACAAGGAUCAUCGAGUCCAACUCCUGAUGCCACACAGGACCAUCCAAACCCUAUGCCUGAGAGCACUGUCCAAACACUCCAACUCCAGCAGUUUUUGUUUCUUACAGCAUCACAUCUUGCUUUGAUGGUACAUGUUUCUGGCAUGCCCUUUAUGUCUCUAUAGUGUAUGUAGGAACUGGAGAAAAGGCACUGCUGAACUGGAAAGAUAAGUUAAUUCUACCCAUACCCCAUCCUGUUUUACCUAGUGUGUGAAAUCUCCAUACUUCUGAUGCCAUUUGAGUUUUUGUCACUGAGUGUGAUCUACAUUUGCUGUUUCAAACUGUACAAUGUCCAUGUUACAGUGAUUAAAUUUCUGGUGUUCAC
ensembl:lncRNA